AACGAACGCUGGCGGCAUGCCUAACACAUGCAAGUCGAACGAACCCUUCGGGGUUAGUGGCGCACGGGUGCGUAACGCGUGGGAAUCUGCCCUCCGGUUCGGAAUAACAGUUAGAAAUGACUGCUAAUACCGGAUGAUGACGUAAGUCCAAAGAUUUAUCGCCGAAGGAUGAGCCCGCGUAGGAUUAGGUAGUUGGUGGGGUAAUGGCCUACCAAGCCGACGAUCCUUAGCUGGUCUGAGAGGAUGAUCAGCCACACUGGGACUGAGACACGGCCCAGACUCCUACGGGAGGCAGCAGUGGGGAAUAUUGGACAAUGGGCGAAAGCCUGAUCCAGCAAUGCCGCGUGAGUGAUGAAGGCCUUAGGGUUGUAAAGCUCUUUUACCAGGGAUGAUAAUGACAGUACCUGGAGAAUAAGCUCCGGCUAACUCCGUGCCAGCCGCCGCCGUAA
rnacentral:rRNA from 1 species